rnacentral:rRNA from 1 species
CGAACGCUGGCGGCGUGCUUAACACAUGCAAGUCGAACGGAAAGGCCCGCUUGCGGGUACUCGAGUGGCGAACGGGUGAGUAACACGUGGGCAACCUGCCCUCAGCUCUGGGAUAACUCCGGGAAACCGGUGCUAAUACUGGAUAUCGACUUCUGCCUCGCAUGGGGUGUUGUUGAAAGUUUUUCGGCUGGGGAUGGGCCCGCGGCCUAUCAGCUUGUUGGUGGGGUGAUGGCCUACCAAGGCGACGACGGGUAGCCGGCCUGAGAGGGCGACCGGCCACACUGGGACUGAGACACGGCCCAGACUCCUACGGGAGGCAGCAGUGGGGAAUAUUGCGCAAUGGGCGGAAGCCUGACGCAGCGACGCCGCGUGGGGGAUGACGGCCUUCGGGUUGUAAACCUCUUUCAGCACAGACGAAGCGCAAGUGACGGUAUGUGCAGAAGAAGCACCGGCCAACUACGUGCCAGCAGCCGCGGUAAUACGUAGGGUGCGAGCGUUGUCCGGAAUUACUGGGCGUAAAGAGCUUGUAGGUGGUUUGUCGCGUUGUUCGUGAAAUCUCACGGCUUAACUGUGAGCGUGCGGGCGAUACGGGCAGACUAGAGUACUGCAGGGGAGACUGGAAUUCCUGGUGUAGCGGUGGAAUGCGCAGAUAUCAGGAGGAACACCGGUGGCGAAGGCGGGUCUCUGGGCAGUAACUGACGCUGAGAAGCGAAAGCGUGGGGAGCGAACAGGAUUAGAUACCCUGGUAGUCCACGCCGUAAACGGUGGGUACUAGGUGUGGGUUUCCUUCCUUGGGAUCCGUGCCGUAGCUAACGCAUUAAGUACCCCGCCUGGGGAGUACGGCCGCAAGGCUAAAACUCAAAUGAAUUGACGG